rnacentral:rRNA from 1 species
CCUACGGGUGGCAGCAGUGAGGAAUAUUGGUCAAUGGACGAGAGUCUGAACCAGCCAAGCAGCGUGAAGGAUGACUGCCCUAUGUGUUGUAAACUUCUUUUAUCUGGGAAUAAAACGUUCCACGCGUGGGAUGUUGUAUGUACCAUAUGAAUAAGCAUCGGCUAACUCCGUGCCAGCAGCCGCGGUAAUACGGAGGAUCCGAGCGUUAUCCGGAUUUAUUGGGUUUAAAGGGAGCGUAGGUGGUGUGUUAAGUCAGUUGUGAAAGUUUGCGGCUCAACCGUAAAAUUGCAGUUGAAACUGGCAGUCUUGAGUACAGUAGAGGUGGGCGGAAUUCGUGGUGUAGCGGUGAAAUGCUUAGAUAUCACGAAGAACUCCGAUUGCGAAGGCAGUUCACUGGACUGCAACUGACACUGAGGCUCGAAAGUGUGGGUAUCAAACAGGAUUAGAUACCCUGGUAGUC